rnacentral:lncRNA from 1 species
AAAGUCCAUGAAUGGAACUUAAUAACACCCCUCUUCCAUUCUUGGGUAGUUUUUCACUGUCGAGAGAAGGAUGGAUCUCUGUAUAAAAGGAUCCACAGCUGGUGGGUCCUUCAUUCACUGGAUUCCCACACCACUUCUUACAACUAAACUGAACAAGCUCCUCCUUCCCUCCCCGUUGUCAAGAUGUGCUGUACCUACUUCAACUCCUGUCCCUUUUGCUGUGAAGCCUGCUCCUGUUGUCCCCAGCAGUGCGGCUGUUGCCCGUGUUCUUGUCCAAGCUGUCCUAAGCAGUGCGGCUGUUGCCCCUGCUGUCCUAAGCCAUGCCCUUGUUGCUGUCCCAAGCCAUGCCCUUGUUGCUGUCCCAAGCCAUGCCCUUGUUGUUGUCCUAAGCCAUGCCCUUGUUGCUCCUGCUGUCCCCCACAAUGCUGCUGUCCCAAGCCAUGCCCUUGUUGUAGCCAUGUUGCUGUUGCCUCUGUUGUAGCCCCUGCUGUUCCAACCAAUGCAACUGCUGCCAAUGCUCUGCUCCUUGCUACUGUGCCCGUCCUGAUUGCCCUCCUUGUCAGGCUUGCCGCCCUUGCCUUUGUGAAUCCCCUUGUGACAGCUCUCCUUGCCACGAUCCCAAUCUUUGUGAUUUCCAUUGUGUCGUCAUGGUGACUCUCCCUCAUGAGAACCCCCAGAAUGCUGAAGCCAUUGGCGCCAGUGCGGAGGAAUCUGAGAAACAACUUAGCCUGGCGGAAUCCAAGGAAGGUGGCAGUUCUGAAGAGCCUGGAGCCAAAGCUUGAAUGAAGGCCAGACCUUGUGGACCGACAAUUCAAGAAAGAACACCACAAUCUUUUAUGUCAAAUCUUGUUCCCACUCAUUUGUUGAAUCCAGUGCUGUAUUUCACUCUCUUUAAUUUUCGGGGUAAUUCAUCUUGACUUCUUGUUUCUCUUUGCUAGAAAAACGUCUAUCUCCUACAUCCAUGAACUAGUCCUCCUAUCCUUCUUUUAGUGGAUAGGAUGUUUUUUGUCUGUCUUCUCUUUCAUCUCUUUGGGCAAUACCUCUGUCAACCCAGACUACUACUACUACUACUACUACUACUACUAAUAAAGCAUUCUUUUUGGAACUUAUGUCUUUGCAAUUGGUCUGUGUAUGUGCAAAAUUGAAUUAUGCAGUUUUGCAACCUCCAUACUCACCUAGGGUUUACUGUGACAUAAUAUUGUGUGAGUAUCCAGAGGCAAUGGUAGAGCAACAAAUGCAGCAUGGUCAAAUGUGGAAGAGGCUUUUAGCACAUGGGGUCACUCCCUGAUGUACAUC